AUUGAACGCUGGCGGCAGGCCUAACACAUGCAAGUCGAGCGGAUGAGGGGAGCUUGCUCUUCGAUUCAGCGGCGGACGGGUGAGUAACGCCUAGGAAUCUGCCUAGUAGUGGGGGACAACGUUUCGAAAGGAACGCUAAUACCGCAUACGUCCUACGGGAGAAAGUGGGGGAUCUUCGGACCUCACGCUAUUAGAUGAGCCUAGGUCGGAUUAGCUAGUUGGUAGGGUAAAGGCCUACCAAGGCGACGAUCCGUAACUGGUCUGAGAGGAUGAUCAGUCACACGGGAACUGAGACACGGUCCAGACUACGACGGGAGGCAGCAGUGGGGAAUAUUGGACAAUGGGCGAAAGCCUGAUCCAGCCAUGCCGGGUGUGUGAAGAAGGCCUUCGGGUCGUAAAGCACUUUAAGUUGGGAGGAAGGGCUCAUAGCGAAUACCUGUGAGUUUUGACGUUACCAACAGAAUAAGCACCGGCUAACUUCGUGCCAGCCGCCGCCGUAA
rnacentral:rRNA from 1 species